UACUCCUACGGGAGGCAGCAGUAGGGAAUCUUCCGCAAUGGACGAAAGUCUGACGGAGCAACGCCGCGUGAGUGAUGAAGGCUUUCGGGUCGUAAAACUCUGUUGUUAGGGAAGAACAAGUGCUAGUUGAAUAAGCUGGCACCUUGACGGUACCUAACCAGAAAGCCACGGCUAACUACGUGCCAGCAGCCGCGGUAA
rnacentral:rRNA from 1 species